rnacentral:rRNA from 1 species
GAGGAGCCCAGAGCCUGAAUCAGCAUGUGUGUUAGUGGAAGCGUCUGGAAAGGCGCGCGAUACAGGGUGACAGCCCCGUACACAAAAGCGCAUGUGCUGUGAGCUCGAUGAGUAGGGCGGGACACGUGGUAUCCUGUCUGAAUAUGGGGGGACCAUCCUCCAAGGCUAAAUACUCCUGACUGACCGAUAGUGAACCAGUACCGUGAGGGAAAGGCGAAAAGAACCCCGGCGAGGGGAGUGAAAAAGAACCUGAAACCGUGUACGUACAAGCAGUGGGAGCCUCUUUUAUGGGGUGACUGCGUACCUUUUGUAUAAUGGGUCAGCGACUUAUAUUCUGUAGCAAGGUUAACCGAAUAGGGGAGCCGGAGGGAAACCGAGUCUUAAUUGGGCGUUAAGUUGCAGGGUAUAGACCCGAAACCCGGUGAUCUAGCCAUGGGCAGGUUGAAGGUUGGGUAACACUAACUGGAGGACCGAACCGACUAAUGUUGAAAAAUUAGCGGAUGACCUGUGGCUGGGGGUGAAAGGCCAAUCAAACCGGGAGAUAGCUGGUUCUCCCCGAAAGCUAUUUAGGUAGCGCCUCGUGAAUUCAUCUCCGGGGGUAGAGCACUGUUUCGGCUAGGGGGCCAUCCCGGCUUACCAACCCGAUGCAAACUGCGAAUACCGGAGAAUGUUAUCACGGGAGACACACGGCGGGUGCUAACGUCCGUCGUGAAGAGGGAAACAACCCAGACCGCCAGCUAAGGUCCCAAAGUCAUGGUUAAGUGGGAAACGAUGUGGGAAGGCCCAGACAGCCAGGAUGUUGGCUUAGAAGCAGCCAUCAUUUAAAGAAAGCGUAAUAGCUCACUGGUCGAGUCGGCCUGCGCGGAAGAUGUAACGGGGCUAAACCAUG